GCGUCCCCCGCCAGCCCGCCCUCGGGAUCUCAGCGCUCCGCUGCGCUCGGGCCGCAGGUGCCCCGCGGCGCGCCGGCCUGCUGGGGUCACGUGCUUCCCGGGCCCCGCAGGUCGCGGACCCCUCGCGCGCUGCCCGGGGCUCCAACGUGCCACGUGAAGCGCUCCCGCUCCGCUGCCCCGGGGCGCACGCCGCGCGGGCCGGGUCAUGUGUCUUUCCCGGGAGGUCCCGGUGAGCCGCCGCCCCUGGGCGCCUCGUGCCGCCGCGGGGCAGGGACCGCAGGCGCCCGGCGGCGUCAACUUCCUAGGACGGCACGUGCCAUGCCAGGUGCCUUUCCCUCCAAGUCCCAGAGUCCGCGAGGCCCAGCUGCCCGCACCCCCGGCCGACGCGGGGCACUCGGACUGGGCCCUGGGGUCCUGAGCCGCCUGAGAGCGACGCCUCGCCUCGGAAUGGCUCUUCUCAUGUGGUUGCUCUGAUGAAGCAGGAGAGAUCAGGUGGCAGCAAACUCAGGCGGCUCCUGCCAUCUGUCAGCAAGGAUCUGAGGCACUUACUCCAGAAACUGCCGAGGUGUUGAAUGCUUCAAACACCAGAGGCAUGAGGUUGGAAGUGGAUCCUUCGUCAGUUGAACUUUCAGAUGAGACCGCAGGCUAGCCUGAUACUUUCCAACCUGUAAGAGACUCUGAACAGAGGAGCCAGGGGAGCUAUGCCUGGAUUCCUGAUCUCUGGAAACUGUGAGCGCGCGGGACCGGGGAUCCCCGACCAGGGACUGAACCCUGGAUUGGAAGAUGGAGUCUUGAGCACUGGACCACCAGGGAAGCCCAACCCUGGCAAUUUUUGAAGAACCAGCCAGCUGUCUCCUUGAGUGUUCAAUAACUUGGAUGUGUUUAAUUAUUGCCUUCUGACUAGAUAUAGAA
ensembl:lncRNA